rnacentral:rRNA from 1 species
CAGCUUUCGACGGUAUGGUAUUGGCUUACCGUGGCAGUGACGGUUAACGGGGGAUUAGGGUUCGAUUCCGGAGAGGGAGCCUGAGAAACGGCUACCACAUCUAAGGAAGGCAGCAGGCGCGCAAAUUACCCAAUGAAAACAGUUUCGAGGUAGUGACGAGAAAUAACAAUACAGGGCAUUUAAUGCUUUGUAAUUGGAAUGAUGGGAAUGUAAAACCCUUUCAGAGUAACAAUUGGAGGGCAAGUCUGGUGCCAGCAGCCGCGGUAAUUCCAGCUCCAAUAGCGUAUAUUAGAGUUGUUGCAGUUAAAAAGCUCGUAGUUGGAUUUCUGUUAUAUCUAUUCGGAGCAUCCCUUAUUGGGAUUGCACCAGAAUCAGGGAUAACAUACUUCUGAUAGCUCGUUCCGCUUAAUUGCGUGUCGGGUGUUUCAGAACUUUUACUUUGAGAAAAAUAGAGUGUUUCAAGCAGGCUUGUUGCCUUGAAUACUGC